CUGCUUUGGCAGCAUAUACACUAGAAUUGGAAUGAUACAGGAAAAAUUAGCUUGACUCCAGUGCAAAGAUAAAAUGCAAAUUUGUGAAGCUUUCCAUAUCUGA
ensembl:snRNA U6 U6 spliceosomal RNA